AUGAGAGGAAGGUGUGGAGGGCUAGACUCACUGAGUGGAGUGAGGGAGGGGAAGGAAGGACCAGGAUGUGGCGUGAGUCAAUACCACACUGUGCUAGAGAUCCAUUUGCCCUCAGAAACCUACUGCCCAUGGACAAGCCACGAUCUGAAGGUACAGCUUAGUGAUGGAGCCUUGAAUUCUUUACUCUUUUAUUCCAUUUCAUUUUUUACUUGUCAUCAUUACUCAUUUCAUUCCAUUCCAGGGGCAAUCAAAUGUAAAAACAAGAGCAAAAAAUAUAUUUCUAUAAAUUUUUAUUUUCAACCUAAGAUUUUGAGCUUUUUUGUGGGUAUUAAUGUACUUAAGUUUUAUGAUAAGAAUAUUACUUCUAGUGGUUAUGUUGUGUUAUUACAUCUGAGCAAUUGUUACAAAGAUUAAUAAUGUGGUACUUGCAGAUGAUUUAGAGACGUGUUCUGUGAAUAUGCCUAAAAUUUGUUAUUUCUACCUAAUUCACAUUUUUUAUUCAUGAGAAAUGGCUUAAGGAAGAGAAAAUGUAGCACACAUUUUUAUUUGAUGUCUUUUAAUAAUUAUGAAGGAAAAAACUGACGAAAAGAAUGCGUAGACUAUACUCUUUAAUAUAUUUCAGCAAAUAUUUAUAAGAACUGACUGUAUGCAGGACACUUUGUUGGCUACAGGGUAUCCAUUCUUUAGAAUGUUUGCUUAGGACAGAAGUAAUUAUCUUACAGGUUUAUUAAAGGGUAUUAUCUCAACUGAGCUAAAAUGUUUAAAUAAGUGAUCUUGACAGGAGAGAUCUUGAAAGGAAACAUACAGCCAGGCUGUAAAGCGAUCUUCACUUGAGCUUGGACUUGUAAGAAUAAGUACACAAUGCUGCCCAAUGAGACUGAUAGGGUGUUAUCACCAUCUGGGACCUGUUGAUGUUUUACAGAUGAAGCAAUCGCCCCGAACUUCUAAGAGUGAACAGAGUCUGAAACUCGGGUUUUCUUGUUUCUAGCCAUUUGCUGGCUGCAGCAAAUCCCUGGUUCUCUUCCAAAAGAAAACAAGUUCUUCCACCUGGCAGCUUUGCAAAAUUUAUGCAAAGAUAGUAAUUUGAGGUUGGCCACUCUCAAGGUUAUGCUUCUGCAGAAAUAUUCUGCAGAAUGGGCUUCUGAGAAAUACUUUUUCCCAUCAAGAAAUAACACUGAACACCUCACCAAAGAAGACAUAUAGAUGGCAAGUAGGCACAUGAAAAGAUGCUUCAGGUUCGAGGUCGACCAGCAGGCCAAACGCAUGGCCACAGCAAGUCGUCAGGUUUAGAGGUUGACUGGCACACCAGAUCCCUAAUAGUUGGCCACCCAAAGCUCCAGGAGUCUGCGUGCCACAAGCGUCCCAAACAACAGUGAAUUACUACCACAAAUACUACUACACGCUUAUUAGAAUGGCCAAAAUCUGGAACACUGAAAACACCAGAUGCUGGCGAGGUUGUGGAAGAAGAGGAACUCUGGUUCUUGGCUGGUGGUAAUGCAAAAUGGUGUAGUCACUUGGAAGACAGUUUGGUGACUUCUUACAAAAGUAAACAUACUCUUACCAUACAAUCCAGCAGUUGUGUUCCUUGGUAUUUACCCAAAGGAAUCAAAAAAUUGUCCAUACAAAAACCUUCGCAAAAAUGUUUAUAGCAGCUUUAUUCAUAAUUGCCAAAAUCUGGAAGCAACAAAGAUAUCCCUUAGGAAGUGAAUGGAUAAGUAAACUGUGGCCCAUCCAGACAAUGGAAUACUAUUCAACAUUUUUUUAAAUGUUGUUUGUUUGUUUAUUUAUUUAUUUAAAUUUUAUUUUUUAUUUUUUAAAAUUUACAUCCAAAUUAGUUAGCAUAUAGUGAAACAAUGAUUUCAGGAGUAGAUUCCUCAAUGCCCCUUACCGAUUUAGCCCAUCCCCCCUUCCCACAACCCUGCCAGUAACCCCCAAUUUGUUCUCCAUGUUUAUGAGUCUCUUCUGUUUUGUCCCCCUCCCUGUUUUUAUAUUAUUUUUGUUUCUCUUCCCUUAUGUUCAUCUGUUUUGUCUCUUAAAGUCCUCAUGAGUGAAGUCAUAUGAUUUUUGUCAUUCUCUGACUGACUAAUUUCACUUAGGAUAAUACCCUCCAGUUCCAUCCACAUAGUUGCAAAUGGCAAGAUUUCAUUCUUUUUGAUUGCCAAGUAAUACUCCAUUGUAUAUAUACCACAUUUUCUUUAUCCAUUCAUCCAUCAAUGGACCUUUGAGCUCUUUCCAGACUUUGGCUAUUGUUGAUAGUGCUGUUAUAAACAUGGGGGUGCAUGUGUCCCUUCGAAACAGCACACCUGUAACCCGUGGAUAAAUGCCUAGUAGUGCAAUUUCUGGGUCGUAGGGUAGUUCUAUUUUUAGUUUUUUGAGGAACCUCCAUACUGUUUUCCAGAGUGGCUGCACCAGCAUGCAUUCCCACUAUUCAACAUUUUAAAAAAGUUAUGAAGCCAUGAAAACAUAUGGAAGAAACUUAAAUGCCUAUUACUAAAUGAAAGAAGACAACCUGAAAAGCUCUGUACUAUAUAAUUCCAGCUGUAUGACAUUCUGGAAAACCCAAAACUAUGGAGACAAUAAAAGAAUCAGCAGAUGCCA
rnacentral:lncRNA from 1 species